rnacentral:lncRNA from 1 species
UAUGGUAUUAUGAACAAGAACGAAUUGCAUCACAACAUUGCAUUCGAAAGUUGACUGUAACAUUAUCAUUCAAUUUAACAAGUAGUGCUCCAAGCUCUUCUAAAAACCAGGUGCAAUUUGCUUAGUCAGAGAAGUAAAAAAACUGCCUCAUCUCAUCAUCGGCUACAACAAAAAACAGAAACAAGUAACUUUGCUAAAUUUGUAGAAUUAUUAAGAAGACCACCUGUAGUCUCUAAGAAACAACAAGCGGGUCAGCUUGACAAAUACUUCCUCCGUCCCAUAAUAUAAGACCAUUUUGCAGUCAUCAACGUGCAAAGUAGCCACCUCUGCUCAGAACGCUGACCAGAACGACUUAGUAAUUUCAGCAUCAACGUGCAUAGUAGCCACCUCUGUUCAAAAGGAUAUUCACAGAAAUAUGAAUUUCAUGCAACCAUUAACAGUUGGAGCUUCUCGAUCAUAACUUUGUACAAAAAACUAACAGGCUCAUAGUGGAUAUCAUUCAAACAUAUUGCAGCCACAAUGGGUAUAUUUAUCACACACGCGUGCAGAUGCCAGAGGGGGCAUGCAUGCAACAGAUAAUGGGACCUACAAGUGAUGUGAGCAACUGAGGAAUCACCCUGCAGGAAUGACACACCAUACGUGCAGUGACAAAUUGUGCAAUCUACUUUCGAGAAAUGGUACUCGACAUGGCCCUGCACCAGAUACAGAGAGAAAAGGAACUAUAAGUCUAUAACAGGGCAAUUCAAUACCUAACCAGAUGCAAUUCACACAUGGAGAAUAAAUCGCGAUAUAAACAUUUCACUCACAAGUUGACUGUAAUGCAAUCGCUCCAUUCAAUCUAACAAGCAGUGUCCAAACUCCUCUAACAAUCAGCAGGGGCGGAGCUGGAGUAAAUGUUACCCAAUGCACCACUUUGACCAGGCAUAAAUUUUUCAGGCAACGGUGUAUUGGAUAUAGGUGUGUUCCAUAGCUUCUAGCACACAUAUUAUUGGAUAUAACAAAAGACAAUUUGUGAAAACAAAAUGCAGCCAUCAAAAUUCUUAAUGUAAUGAUAAAACAGGGGACAAAAUUACUUGAAAAGGAUGCUUUGCAUUUCCAAAUUCCAAAAUACAUCGUCGCACAACAAGGUUCAGUAACCUACAACAUACAAAUAGAAUUAAACUUACAAGUACAAUAUAUUAUCUUCUCACUAGAUCUUUCAAAUUAGGAUGAAAAUGUUCUAUUAAUUUUCUCUUGCCAGGAUCAUAUUGAAACUCCUCUUCCCAAUUUAUGUCUUUUGGAACAUCUUGUGAUAGUACCUUUCUUUUGAGAAAAACUUGUCCAUAGUAUCUCUAUUUGACAAAUACAAAUUAGAAAUGAGACAUGAAUACCUAUAUAGACAAAUGGAAUAUACUCUUAAUUAGAAGUUAUAACCCUAGGAAAUGCCCUCAUGCUUUGUCAAAACAUAGUGAUUUAUUCUAUUUGCUACAAAUUUAUAUAUAAUUGUUGCAGUUUGUAAACAAAAUAGGAAAAGCAAGAAAAUACUAGUCGCAAGUGUGGUCUAUUGUAAAACUUGUAAUCUAUGGACGCAUGGAAGACAGAGCGGAAGACUCAAGAUUGGAAUUUGAAAAGAUUGCCGAAUUACCGAGAGCCGGACCGGCGGACCGACG